UAAGCGACUAAGCGUACACGGUGGAUGCCCUGGCAGUCAGAGGCGAUGAAGGACGUGCUAAUCUGCGAUAAGCGUCGGUAAGGUGAUAUGAACCGUUAUAACCGGCGAUUUCCGAAUGGGGAAACCCAGUGUGUUUCGACACACUAUCAUUAACUGAAUCCAUAGGUUAAUGAGGCGAACCGGGGGAACUGAAACAUCUAAGUACCCCGAGGAAAAGAAAUCAACCGAGAUUCCCCCAGUAGCGGCGAGCGAACGGGGAGGAGCCCAGAGCCUGAAUCAGUGUGUGUGUUAGUGGAAGCGUCUGGAAAGGCGCGCGAUACAGGGUGACAGCCCCGUACACAAAAAUGCACAUGCUGUGAGCUCGAUGAGUAGGGCGGGACACGUGGUAUCCUGUCUGAAUAUGGGGGGACCAUCCUCCAAGGCUAAAUACUCCUGACUGACCGAUAGUGAACCAGUACCGUGAGGGAAAGGCGAAAAGAACCCCGGCGAGGGGAGUGAAAAAGAACCUGAAACCGUGUACGUACAAGCAGUGGGAGCACGCUUAGGCGUGUGACUGCGUACCUUUUGUAUAAUGGGUCAGCGACUUAUAUUCUGUAGCAAGGUUAACCGAAUAGGGGAGCCGAAGGGAAACCGAGUCUUAACUGGGCGUUAAGUUGCAGGGUAUAGACCCGAAACCCGGUGAUCUAGCCAUGGGCAGGUUGAAGGUUGGGUAACACUAACUGGAGGACCGAACCGACUAAUGUUGAAAAAUUAGCGGAUGACUUGUGGCUGGGGGUGAAAGGCCAAUCAAACCGGGAGAUAGCUGGUUCUCCCCGAAAGCUAUUUAGGUAGCGCCUCGUGAAUUCAUCUCCGGGGGUAGAGCACUGUUUCGGCAAGGGGGUCAUCCCGACUUACCAACCCGAUGCAAACUGCGAAUACCGGAGAAUGUUAUCACGGGAGACACACGGCGGGUGCUAACGUCCGUCGUGAAGAGGGAAACAACCCAGACCGCCAGCUAAGGUCCCAAAGUCAUGGUUAAGUGGGAAACGAUGUGGGAAGGCCCAGACAGCCAGGAUGUUGGCUUAGAAGCAGCCAUCAUUUAAAGAAAGCGUAAUAGCUCACUGGUCGAGUCGGCCUGCGCGGAAGAUGUAACGGGGCUAAACCAUGCACCGAAGCUGCGGCAGCGACGCUUAUGCGUUGUUGGGUAGGGGAGCGUUCUGUAAGCCUGUGAAGGUGUGCUGUGAGGCAUGCUGGAGGUAUCAGAAGUGCGAAUGCUGACAUAAGUAACGAUAAAGCGGGUGAAAAGCCCGCUCGCCGGAAGACCAAGGGUUCCUGUCCAACGUUAAUCGGGGCAGGGUGAGUCGACCCCUAAGGCGAGGCCGAAAGGCGUAGUCGAUGGGAAACAGGUUAAUAUUCCUGUACUUGGUGUUACUGCGAAGGGGGGACGGAGAAGGCUAUGUUGGCCGGGCGACGGUUGUCCCGGUUUAAGCGUGUAGGCUGGUUUUCCAGGCAAAUCCGGAAAAUCAAGGCUGAGGCGUGAUGACGAGGCACUACGGUGCUGAAGCAACAAAUGCCCUGCUUCCAGGAAAAGCCUCUAAGCAUCAGGUAACAUCAAAUCGUACCCAAACCGACACAGGUGGUCAGGUAGAGAAUACCAAGGCGCUUGAGAGAACUCGGGUGAAGGAACUAGGCAAAAUGGUGCCGUAACUUCGGGAGAAGGCACGCUGAUAUGUAGGUGAAGUCCCUCGCGGAUGGAGCUGAAAUCAGUCGAAGAUACCAGCUGGCUGCAACUGUUUAUUAAAAACACAGCACUGUGCAAACACGAAAGUGGACGUAUACGGUGUGACGCCUGCCCGGUGCCGGAAGGUUAAUUGAUGGGGUCAGCGCAAGCGAAGCUCUUGAUCGAAGCCCCGGUAAACGGCGGCCGUAACUAUAACGGUCCUAAGGUAGCGAAAUUCCUUGUCGGGUAAGUUCCGACCUGCACGAAUGGCGUAAUGAUGGCCAGGCUGUCUCCACCCGAGACUCAGUGAAAUUGAACUCGCUGUGAAGAUGCAGUGUACCCGCGGCAAGACGGAAAGACCCCGUGAACCUUUACUAUAGCUUGACACUGAACAUUGAGCCUUGAUGUGUAGGAUAGGUGGGAGGCUUUGAAGUGUGGACGCCAGUCUGCAUGGAGCCGACCUUGAAAUACCACCCUUUAAUGUUUGAUGUUCUAACGUUGACCCGUAAUCCGGGUUGCGGACAGUGUCUGGUGGGUAGUUUGACUGGGGCGGUCUCCUCCUAAAGAGUAACGGAGGAGCACGAAGGUUGGCUAAUCCUGGUCGGACAUCAGGAGGUUAGUGCAAUGGCAUAAGCCAGCUUGACUGCGAGCGUGACGGCGCGAGCAGGUGCGAAAGCAGGUCAUAGUGAUCCGGUGGUUCUGAAUGGAAGGGCCAUCGCUCAACGGAUAAAAGGUACUCCGGGGAUAACAGGCUGAUACCGCCCAAGAGUUCAUAUCGACGGCGGUGUUUGGCACCUCGAUGUCGGCUCAUCACAUCCUGGGGCUGAAGUAGGUCCCAAGGGUAUGGCUGUUCGCCAUUUAAAGUGGUACGCGAGCUGGGUUUAGAACGUCGUGAGACAGUUCGGUCCCUAUCUGCCGUGGGCGCUGGAGAACUGAGGGGGGCUGCUCCUAGUACGAGAGGACCGGAGUGGACGCAUCACUGGUGUUCGGGUUGUCAUGCCAAUGGCACUGCCCGGUAGCUAAAUGCGGAAGAGAUAAGUGCUGAAAGCAUCUAAGCACGAAACUUGCCCCGAGAUGAGUUCUCCCUGACUCCUUGAGAGUCCUGAAGGAACGUUGAAGACGACGACGUUGAUAGGCCGGGUGUGUAAGCGCAGCGAUGCGUUGAGCUAACCGGUACUAAUGAACCGUGAGGCUUAACCU
rnacentral:rRNA from 1 species